GGGUUGUGAGGUUAAGCGACUAAGCGUACACGGUGGAUGCCCUGGCAGUCAGAGGCGAUGAAGGACGUGCUAAUCUGCGAUAAGCGCCGGUAAGGUGAUAUGAACCGUUAUAACCGGCGAUUUCCGAAUGGGGAAACCCAGUGUGAUUCGUCACACUAUCAUUAACUGAAUCCAUAGGUUAAUGAGGCGAACCGGGGGAACUGAAACAUCUAAGUACCCCGAGGAAAAGAAAUCAACCGAGAUUCCCCCAGUAGCGGCGAGCGAACGGGGAGGAGCCCAGAGCCUGAAUCAGCAUGUGUGUUAGUGGAAGCGUCUGGAAAGGCGCGCGAUACAGGGUGACAGCCCCGUACACAAAAGCGCAUGUGCUGUGAGCUCGAUGAGUAGGGCGGGACACGUGGUAUCCUGUCUGAAUAUGGGGGACCAUCCUCCAAGGCUAAAUACUCCUGACUGACCGAUAGUGAACCAGUACCGUGAGGGAAAGGCGAAAAGAACCCCGGCGAGGGGAGUGAAAAAGAACCUGAAACCGUGUACGUACAAGCAGUGGGAGCACAGGUUUACCUGUGUGACUGCGUACCUUUUGUAUAAUGGGUCAGCGACUUAUAUUCUGUAGCAAGGUUAACCGAAUAGGGGAGCCGGAGGGAAACCGAGUCUUAAUUGGGCGUUAAGUUGCAGGGUAUAGACCCGAAACCCGGUGAUCUAGCCAUGGGCAGGUUGAAGGUUGGGUAACACUAACUGGAGGACCGAACCGACUAAUGUUGAAAAAUUAGCGGAUGACCUGUGGCUGGGGUGAAAGGCCAAUCAAACCGGGAGAUAGCUGGUUCUCCCGAAAGCUAUUUAGGUAGCGCCUCGUGAACUCAUCUCCGGGGGUAGAGCACUGUUUCGGCUAGGGGGCCAUCCCGGCUUACCAACCCGAUGCAAACUGCGAAUACCGGAGAAUGUUAUCACGGGAGACACACGGCGGGUGCUAACGUCCGUCGUGAAGAGGGAAACAACCCAGACCGCCAGCUAAGGUCCCAAAGUCAUGGUUAAGUGGGAAACGAUGUGGGAAGGCCCAGACAGCCAGGAUGUUGGCUUAGAAGCAGCCAUCAUUUAAAGAAAGCGUAAUAGCUCACUGGUCGAGUCGGCCUGCGCGGAAGAUGUAACGGGGCUAAACCAUGCACCGAAGCUGCGGCAGCGACACUGUGUGUUGUUGGGUAGGGGAGCGUUCUGUAAGCCUGUGAAGGUGGCCUGUGAGGGUUGCUGGAGGUAUCAGAAGUGCGAAUGCUGACAUAAGUAACGAUAAAGCGGGUGAAAAGCCCGCUCGCCGGAAGACCAAGGGUUCCUGUCCAACGUUAAUCGGGGCAGGGUGAGUCGACCCCUAAGGCGAGGCCGAAAGGCGUAGUCGAUGGGAAACAGGUUAAUAUUCCUGUACUUGGUGUUACUGCGAAGGGGGACGGAGAAGGCUAUGUUGGCCGGGCGACGGUUGUCCCGGUUUAAGCGUGUAGGCUGGUUUUCCAGGCAAAUCCGGAAAAUCAAGGCUGAGGCGUGAUGACGAGGCACUACGGUGCUGAAGCAACAAAUGCCCUGCUUCCAGGAAAAGCCUCUAAGCAUCAGGUAACAUCAAAUCGUACCCCAAACCGACACAGGUGGUCAGGUAGAGAAUACCAAGGCGCUUGAGAGAACUCGGGUGAAGGAACUAGGCAAAAUGGUGCCGUAACUUCGGGAGAAGGCACGCUGACACGUAGGUGAAGUGAUUUACUCACGGAGCUGAAGUCAGUCGAAGAUACCAGCUGGCUGCAACUGUUUAUUAAAAACACAGCACUGUGCAAACACGAAAGUGGACGUAUACGGUGUGACGCCUGCCCGGUGCCGGAAGGUUAAUUGAUGGGGUCAGCGCAAGCGAAGCUCCUGAUCGAAGCCCCGGUAAACGGCGGCCGUAACUAUAACGGUCCUAAGGUAGCGAAAUUCCUUGUCGGGUAAGUUCCGACCUGCACGAAUGGCGUAAUGAUGGCCAGGCUGUCUCCACCCGAGACUCAGUGAAAUUGAACUCGCUGUGAAGAUGCAGUGUACCCGCGGCAAGACGGAAAGACCCCGUGAACCUUUACUAUAGCUUGACACUGAACAUUGAGCCUUGAUGUGUAGGAUAGGUGGGAGGCUUUGAAGCGUGGACGCCAGUCUGCGUGGAGCCGACCUUGAAAUACCACCCUUUAAUGUUUGAUGUUCUAACGUGGACCCGUAAUCCGGGUUGCGGACAGUGUCUGGUGGGUAGUUUGACUGGGGCGGUCUCCUCCUAAAGAGUAACGGAGGAGCACGAAGGUUGGCUAAUCCUGGUCGGACAUCAGGAGGUUAGUGCAAUGGCAUAAGCCAGCUUGACUGCGAGCGUGACGGCGCGAGCAGGUGCGAAAGCAGGUCAUAGUGAUCCGGUGGUUCUGAAUGGAAGGGCCAUCGCUCAACGGAUAAAAGGUACUCCGGGGAUAACAGGCUGAUACCGCCCAAGAGUUCAUAUCGACGGCGGUGUUUGGCACCUCGAUGUCGGCUCAUCACAUCCUGGGGCUGAAGUAGGUCCCAAGGGUAUGGCUGUUCGCCAUUUAAAGUGGUACGCGAGCUGGGUUUAGAACGUCGUGAGACAGUUCGGUCCCUAUCUGCCGUGGGCGCUGGAGAACUGAGGGGGGCUGCUCCUAGUACGAGAGGACCGGAGUGGACGCAUCACUGGUGUUCGGGUUGUCAUGCCAAUGGCACUGCCCGGUAGCUAAAUGCGGAAGAGAUAAGUGCUGAAAGCAUCUAAGCACGAAACUUGCCCCGAGAUGAGUUCUCCCUGAGACUUAGAGUCUCCUGAAGGAACGUUGAAGACGACGACGUUGAUAGGCCGGGUGUGUAAGCGCAGCGAUGCGUUGAGCUAACCGGUACUAAUGAACCGUGAGGCUUAACCUUACAACGCCGAAG
rnacentral:rRNA from 1 species